rnacentral:rRNA from 1 species
AGAGUUUGAUCCUGGCUCAGGAUGAACGCUGGCGGCGUGCUUAACACAUGCAAGUCGAACGGUGAAAGCGGAGCUUGCUUCGCUGGAUCAGUGGCGAACGGGUGAGUAACACGUGAGCAACCUACCCUAAACACUGGGAUAACUCAAAGAAAUUUGAGCUAAUACCGGAUAUGACCCUUAUUGGCAUCAAUUCGGGUGGAAAGUUUUUCGGUUUAGGAGGGGCUCGCGGCCUAUCAGCUUGUUGGUGAGGUAAUGGCUCACCAAGGCAUCGACGGGUAGCCGGCCUGAGAGGGUGAUCGGCCACACUGGAACUGAGACACGGUCCAGACUCCUACGGGAGGCAGCAGUGGGGAAUAUUGCGCAAUGGGGGAAACCCUGACGCAGCAACGCCGCGUGGAGGACGAAGGUUUUCGGAUUGUAAACUCCUUAUCUGGGGGAAGAGAGAGGACGGUACCCCAGGACGAAGACACGGCUAACUAGGUGCCAGCAGCCGCGGUAAUACCUAGGUGUCGAGCGUUAUCCGGAAUUACUGGGCGUAAAGGGUGCGCAGGCGGCGAUACAAGUCUGGCGUGAAAGCUUCUGGCUUAACUGGGAGAGGACGUUAGAAACUGUAUGGCUAGAGUGAAUGAGAGGGAGGCAGAACUCCCGGUGUAGUGGUGGAAUGCGUAGAUAUCGGGAAGAACACCAGAGGCGAAGGCGGCCUCCUGGCAUUUUACUGACGCUGAGGCACGAAAGCGUGGGUAGCGAACGGGAUUAGAUACCCCGGUAGUCCACGCUGUAAACGAUGUGAACGAGGUGUGGGCGGUGUAGAAGCCGUCCGUGCCGGAGCAAACGCGAUAAGUUCACCGCCUGGGGAGUACGGUCGCAAGGCUAAAACUCAAAGGAAUUGACGGGGGCCCGCACAAGCAGCGGAGCGUGUGGUUUAAUUCGAUGCAACGCGAAGAACCUUACCUGGACUUGACAUGUACGUAGUAGUGAAGGGAAACCGGAACGAGCCUUCGGGCAGCG